rnacentral:rRNA from 1 species
UGAGGAAUCUUCCACAAUGGGCGAAAGCCUGAUGGAGCAACGCCGCGUGCAGGAUGAAGGCCUUCGGGUCGUAAACUGCUUUUAUAAGUGAAGAAUUUGACGGUAGCUUAUGAAUAAGCACCGGCUAACUACGUGCCAGCAGCCGCGGUCAUACGUAGGGUGCAAGCAUUAUUCGGAGUGACUGGGCGUAAAGAGUUGCGUAGGUGGCUAUAUAAGUGAAAAGUGAAAUCUGGUGGCUCAACCACACAGACUAUUUUUCAAACUGUAUAGCUCGAGAGUAGCAGAGGUAACUGGAAUUUCUAGUGUAGGAGUGAAAUCCGUAGAUAUUAGAAGGAACACCAAUGGCGUAGGCAGGUUACUGGGCUAUUUCUGACACUGAGGCACGAAAGCGUGGGGAGCGAACCGG